UGACUCGUCACACUAUCAUUAACUGAAUCCAUAGGUUAAUGAGGCGAACCGGGGGAACUGAAACAUCUAAGUACCCCGAGGAAAAGAAAUCAACCGAGAUUCCCCCAGUAGCGGCGAGCGAACGGGGAGGAGCCCAGAGCCUGAAUCAGCAUGUGUGUUAGUGGAAGCGUCUGGAAAGGCGCGCGAUACAGGGUGACAGCCCCGUACACAAAAGCGCAUGUGCUGUGAGCUCGAUGAGUAGGGCGGGACACGUGGUAUCCUGUCUGAAUAUGGGGGGACCAUCCUCCAAGGCUAAAUACUCCUGACUGACCGAUAGUGAACCAGUACCGUGAGGGAAAGGCGAAAAGAACCCCGGCGAGGGGAGUGAAAAAGAACCUGAAACCGUGUACGUACAAGCAGUGGGAGCACCCUUUGGGUGUGACUGCGUACCUUUUGUAUAAUGGGUCAGCGACUUAUAUUCUGUAGCAAGGUUAACCGAAUAGGGGAGCCGGAGGGAAACCGAGUCUUAACCGGGCGUUAAGUUGCAGGGUAUAGACCCGAAACCCGGUGAUCUAGCCAUGGGCAGGUUGAAGGUUGGGUAACACUAACUGGAGGACCGAACCGACUAAUGUUGAAAAAUUAGCGGAUGACCUGUGGCUGGGGGUGAAAGGCCAAUCAAACCGGGAGAUAGCUGGUUCUCCCCGAAAGCUAUUUAGGUAGCGCCUCGUGAAUUCAUCUCCGGGGGUAGAGCACUGUUUCGGCUAGGGGGCCAUCCCGGCUUACCAACCCGAUGCAAACUGCGAAUACCGGAGAAUGUUAUCACGGGAGACACACGGCGGGUGCUAACGUCCGUCGUGAAGAGGGAAACAACCCAGACCGCCAGCUAAGGUCCCAAAGUCAUGGUUAAGUGGGAAACGAUGUGGGAAGGCCCAGACAGCCAGGAUGUUGGCUUAGAAGCAGCCAUCAUUUAAAGAAAGCGUAAUAGCUCACUGGUCGAGUCGGCCUGCGCGGAAGAUGUAACGGGGCUAAACCAUGCACCGAAGCUGCGGCAGCGACACUGUGUGUUGUUGGGUAGGGGAGCGUUCUGUAAGCCUGUGAAGGUGUGUCGUGAGGCAUGCUGGAGGUAUCAGAAGUGCGAAUGCUGACAUAAGUAACGAUAAAGCGGGUGAAAAGCCCGCUCGCCGGAAGACCAAGGGUUCCUGUCCAACGUUAAUCGGGGCAGGGUGAGUCGACCCCUAAGGCGAGGCCGAAAGGCGUAGUCGAUGGGAAACGGGUUAAUAUUCCCGUACUUGGUGUUACUGCGAAGGGGGGACGGAGAAGGCUAUGUUGGCCGGGCGACGGUUGUCCCGGUUUAAGCGUGUAGGUGUGUGUUCCAGGUAAAUCCGGUUCACUUUAACACUGAGGCGUGACGACGAGGCACUACGGUGCUGAAGCAACAAAUGCCCUGCUUCCAGGAAAAGCCUCUAAGCAUCAGGUAACAUCAAAUCGUACCCCAAACCGACACAGGUGGUCAGGUAGAGAAUACCAAGGCGCUUGAGAGAACUCGGGUGAAGGAACUAGGCAAAAUGGUGCCGUAACUUCGGGAGAAGGCACGCUGACACGUAGGUGAAGUGAUUUACUCAUGGAGCUGAAGUCAGUCGAAGAUACCAGCUGGCUGCAACUGUUUAUUAAAAACACAGCACUGUGCAAACACGAAAGUGGACGUAUACGGUGUGACGCCUGCCCGGUGCCGGAAGGUUAAUUGAUGGGGUCAGCGCAAGCGAAGCUCCUGAUCGAAGCCCCGGUAAACGGCGGCCGUAACUAUAACGGUCCUAAGGUAGCGAAAUUCCUUGUCGGGUAAGUUCCGACCUGCACGAAUGGCGUAAUGAUGGCCAGGCUGUCUCCACCCGAGACUCAGUGAAAUUGAACUCGCUGUGAAGAUGCAGUGUACCCGCGGCAAGACGGAAAGACCCCGUGAACCUUUACUAUAGCUUGACACUGAACAUUGAGCCUUGAUGUGUAGGAUAGGUGGGAGGCUUUGAAGUGUGGACGCCAGUCUGCAUGGAGCCGACCUUGAAAUACCACCCUUUAAUGUUUGAUGUUCUAACGUGGACCCGUUACCCGGGUUGCGGACAGUGUCUGGUGGGUAGUUUGACUGGGGCGGUCUCCUCCUAAAGAGUAACGGAGGAGCACGAAGGUUGGCUAAUCCUGGUCGGACAUCAGGAGGUUAGUGCAAUGGCAUAAGCCAGCUUGACUGCGAGCGUGACGGCGCGAGCAGGUGCGAAAGCAGGUCAUAGUGAUCCGGUGGUUCUGAAUGGAAGGGCCAUCGCUCAACGGAUAAAAGGUACUCCGGGGAUAACAGGCUGAUACCGCCCAAGAGUUCAUAUCGACGGCGGUGUUUGGCACCUCGAUGUCGGCUCAUCACAUCCUGGGGCUGAAGUAGGUCCCAAGGGUAUGGCUGUUCGCCAUUUAAAGUGGUACGCGAGCUGGGUUUAGAACGUCGUGAGACAGUUCGGUCCCUAUCUGCCGUGGGCGCUGGAGAACUGAGGGGGGCUGCUCCUAGUACGAGAGGACCGGAGUGGACGCAUCACUGGUGUUCGGGUUGUCAUGCCAAUGGCACUGCCCGGUAGCUAAAUGCGGAAGAGAUAAGUGCUGAAAGCAUCUAAGCACGAAACUUGCCCCGA
rnacentral:rRNA from 2 species